UACGGGGGGGGCAAGCGUUGUUCGGAAUUACUGGGCGUAAAGGGCUCGUAGGUGGCCAACUAAGUCAUACGUGAAAUCCCUCGGCUAAACCGGGGAACUGCGUCUGAUACUGGAUGGCUUGAGGUUGGGAGAGGGAUGCGGAAUUCCAGGUGUAGCGGUGAAAUGCGUAGAUAUCUGGAGGAACACCGGUGGCGAAGGCGGCAUCCUGGACCAAUUCUGACACUGAGGAGCGAAAGCCAGGGGAGCAAACGGG
rnacentral:rRNA from 1 species